GGAAUAUGGCUUGUUUAGUGAAAAGCCACUGUGACAUCACAACACAGACUCCAGCAUAUGUCCUCCUUACAGUAGGUCAGAGCUAGUCUAGGUGCACCAGUCACAGGACACUGAGACUCAGGGUGGCAGAUGUCAAGUCCUUCAUUGUUCAGUUUAAGCUCAGAGAAGAUCUCUGCCUUGAUAGUCUGCAGUGCAUCCCAUGAACUCAGUAUGGAGAAGUUGCCUUGUCCCCAUCAAUCCAAUGGAGUCCAUUCAUGUCUCCAAACCUUGGCUUAAUGAUUGUAUCCCUGC
rnacentral:lncRNA from 1 species